rnacentral:rRNA from 1 species
AAAUUGAAGAGUUUGAUCAUGGCUCAGAUUGAACGCUGGCGGCAGGCCUAACACAUGCAAGUCGAACGGUAACAGGAAGAAGCUUGCUUCUUUGCUGACGAGUGGCGGACGGGUGAGUAAUGUCUGGGAAACUGCCUGAUGGAGGGGGGAUAACUACUGGAAACGGUAGCUAAUACCGCAUAACGUCGCAAGACCAAAGAGGGGGGACCUUCGGGCCUCUUGCCAUCGGAUGUGCCCAGAUGGGAUUAGCUAGUAGGUGGGGGUAACGGCUCACCUAGGCGACGAUCCCUAGCUGGUCUGAGAGGAUGACCAGCCACACUGGAACUGAGACACGGUCCAGACUCCUACGGGAGGCAGCAGUGGGGAAUAUUGCACAAUGGGCGCAAGCCUGAUGCAGCCAUGCCGCGUGUAUGAAGAAGGCCUUCGGGUUGUAAAAGUACUUUCAGCGGGGAGGAAGGGAGUAAAGUUAAUACCUUUGCUCAUUGACGUUACCCGCAGAAGAAGCACCGGCUAACUCCGUGCCAGCAGCCGCGGUAAUACGGAGGGUGCAAGCGUUAAUCGGAAUUACUGGGCGUAAAGCGCACGCAGGCGGUUUGUUAAGUCAGAUGUGAAAUCCCCCGGGCUCAACCCGGGAACUGCAUCUGAUACUGGCAAGCUUGAGUCUCGUAGAGGGGGGUAGAAUUCCGGGUGUAGCGGUGAAAUGCGUAGAGAUCUGGAGGAAUACCGGUGGCGAAGGCGGCCCCCCGGACGAAGACUGACGCUCAGGUGCGAAAGCGUGGGGGAGCAAACAGGAUUAGAUACCCCGGUAGUCCACGCCGUAAACGAUGUCGACUUGGAGGUUGUGCCCUUGAGGCGUGGCUUCCGGAGCUAACGCGUUAAGUCGACCGCCCGGGAGUACGGCCGCAAGGUUAAAACUCAAAUGAAUUGACGGGGGCCCGCACAAGCGGUGGAGCAUGUGGUUUAAUUCGAUGCAACGCGAAGAACCUUACCUGGUCUUGACAUCCACGGAAGUUUUCAGAGAUGAGAAUGUGCCUUCGGGAACCGUGAGACAGGUGCUGCAUGGCUGUCGUCAGCUCGUGUUGUGAAAUGUUGGGUUAAGUCCCGCAACGAGCGCAACCCCUUUAUCCUUUGUUGCCAGCGGUCCGGCCGGGAACUCAAAGGAGACUGCCAGUGAUAAACUGGAGGAAGGUGGGGAUGACGUCAAGUCAUCAUGGCCCUUACGACCAGUGGCUACACACGUGCUACAAUGGCGCAUACAAAGAGAAGCGACCUCGCGAGAGCAAGCGGACCUCAUAAAGUGCGUCGUAGUCCGGAUUGAGUCUGCAACUCGACUCCAUGAAGUCGGAAUCGCUAGUAAUCGUGGAUCAGAAUGCCACGGUGAAUACGUUCCCGGGCCUUGUACACACCGCCCGUCACACCAUGGGAGUGGGUUGCAAAAGAAGUAGGUAGCUUAACCUUCGGGAGGGCGCUUACCACUUUGUGAUUCAUGACUGGGGGUGAAGUCGUAACAAGGUAACCGUAGGGGGAACCUGCAGGUUGGAUCACCUCCUUACCUUAAAGAAGC